GAGUUUGAUCCUGGCUAGAUUGAACGCUGGCGGCAUGCCUUACACAUGCAAGUCGAACGGUAACGCGGGGCAACCGGCGACGAGUGGCGAACGGGUGAGUAAUACAUCGGAACGUGCCCAGUAAUGGGGGAUAGCCGGCGAAAGCCGGAUUAAUACCGCAUACGACCUACGGGUGAAAGAGGGGGAUCGCAAGCCUCUCGUUAUUGGAGCGGCCGAUGGCAGAUUAGGUAGUUGGUGGGGUAAAAGCCUACCAGCCGACGAUCUGUAGCUGGUCUGAGAGGACGACCAGCCACACUGGGACUGAGACACGGCCAGACUCCUACGGGAGGCAGCAGUGAGGAAUUUUCCGCAAUGGGCGAAAGCCUGACGGGCAAUGCCGCGUGAAGGAUGAAGGCCUGUGGGUUGUAAACUUCUUUUCUCAGAGACGAAAUC
rnacentral:rRNA from 1 species